UGCAGAGGGAUGCUCCGAGGAAGCUCCGGGGGAGAGAGCCGCGUCCACACCUCUUUCCAGACUAUGAUGGGGCCCAGAGACCCCUCCCCUCCGACUGAGCCCCAGAGACCCCCUACUCAGGCCAGAAGGGGAAAGCCGAGCUCCUGCUUGCCCAGGCAUCAGAAUUCCUCAGGGAGGAAAAGUUGCCUAUCUGUUGGGUCAGAUUUCUGAAGACUGAUGAGGCCCAUUUUCUGGCUGGAGUGCAAUGGCAUGAUCUCAGCUCACUGCAACCUCUGCCUCCCAGGUUCAAGCGAUUCUCCUGCCUCAGCCUCCAAGUAGCUGGGAUUACAGACAUCCUUCCAGUUGGAUUUCAACUGGGUUCUGCCGAUGGGAUGUAUCCAUGUGAGAUUCUGGAACUAACAUCAGAGAGAGUCCAAGCUUCUAACUUUUAUCAGUGGCAGUGACAACAGUCAAGCAGCAUUGAUGACAAAUGGCAAGAGUUUACAAAGUACCAGUGACGUGCCUGAUAGAAUCUCCCCACAAGAUGGAAGCCAACUCAUCAGAAGCCUGGAAAGCCCGCCCAGCGUGGGACCUCUGUGGGUCCAGGAUCUUGGAAUGGCAUCCCAUGGUUUAAUCUUCCAGAUUCAACCAAAUAAAUUUACCCCACCAUGUCAUGGACCCAAGCUUCCUACCAUGUAUCCUUAGCUUAAAUGCAAGAUAGUGCUAUCUUGUUCAUCUUGAUUGGAGUGAGAAAUGAAUAGGUCCAUGCACAUAUAUUUCUUUUACCACAACAAGAUGAAGAAGAAAUAAAUCCAUAAUAUUGAUACUUUUGUAUAAGUUGUGUUUACAGUUGCAGUAAGAAAUUUUAUAAUCGUUGAUUUGCUUUAUAUAAUUUCUGCUUGCUUUUUAUGAUAUUUAAAACAAAAUCUAAGCAACAAAUUUUAUGUCUGAUUAGAUUUACAGAAGCUGCUUAAGUGCUUAGGGAUAAUUUGUUCAUCAUACUUGUAAGUCUCCCUUGUUAGGUGUUUGAAGUGUUUGAAUUGGCUAAAUUAAAUUUGUAAUUGUAGUUUCAAAUAUCUAAA
rnacentral:lncRNA from 1 species